rnacentral:rRNA from 1 species
GUAAUACUUAGGAAUCUACCUAGUAGUGGGGGAUAGCUCGGGGAAACUCGAAUUAAUACCGCAUACGACCUACGGGAGAAAGGGGGCAACUUGUUGCUCUCGCUAUUAGAUGAGCCUAAGUCGGAUUAGCUAGAUGGUGGGGUAAAGGCCUACCAUGGCGACGAUCUGUAGCUGGUCUGAGAGGAUGAUCAGCCACACCGGGACUGAGACACGGCCCGGACUCCUACGGGAGGCAGCAGUGGGGAAUAUUGGACAAUGGGGGAAACCCUGAUCCAGCCAUGCCGCGUGUGUGAAGAAGGACUUUUGGUUGUAAAGCACUUUAAGCAGUGAAGAAGACUCUUCGGUUAAUACCCGGAGACGAUGACAUUAGCUGCAGAAUAAGCACCGGCUAACUCUGUGCCAGCGGCCGCGGUAAUACAGAGGGUGCAAGCGUUAAUCGGAAUUACUGGGCGUAAAGCGAGCGUAGGUGGCUUGAUAAGUCAGAUGUGAAAUCCCCGGGCUUAACCUGGGAACUGCAUCUGAUACUGUCAGGCUAGAGUAGGUGAGAGGAAGGUAGAAUUCCAGGUGUAGCGGUGAAAUGCGUAGAGAUCUGGAGGAAUACCGAUGGCGAAGGCAGCCUUCUGGCAUCAUACUGACACUGAGGCU